CUGCCCUCGGGCCUGGCUCGCCCGCGGGCGGAUGGCUCCGGGUCUCUGCUGCUGAGGAUGUGGCUGCCGGGCGGAGGUCGUCCACUCCCCUGGGCCUUUCUCCGCGAGCCCUCCCACGCCGCCCGCUCCUCUCCCGGGGCGAAGGGCGGGGACGAGGCGCGCCGAAGCCCCGAGCUGAAGAGAAGGGUGGGGGCAUGAGGGCGCUGGAGUGAGGAACAGAUUGGAGCCUUCCCACUUCCUCUCCAAUCUCAGCCCCCGGGAGGAGGGGUGAGGCCCUCGAGGGGGCCCGGAGUUAAGGAGGAAUAGACCGUUUCUCUCUCUCCUGUCUCCCCCGCCUCUGCCCGUCUUCCCUCUAAGCCGGCCUCUAGGUGCAGAGGCUGACGUCCAGGAUGGGGACCGGGGAAGCCUCUGGAGGGUAUAUCCGGGAAGGCACCAAGGCUGAAGUGAGAGCGGUUCUGGGGAAGGCUUUAAAAAGCAGAUAUGGACCAGGGUAGAGUUCGUACGCUGUAGCUUUUCAAGAACACCGAUCUCAUUAAUUAAAGAACAGCAACUAUUUAAUUCCAGUUAUAAACUAUUGUUUUCCAGUUAGUCUGGGUAGGUGUGGCCGUUUGUAGAAUAGUUAGAUUACAUUAGUCUAUUGCGUUGGUACAGUUGUCUAUAGCUUGAGCAUAUAAAAACUCCUGAGCCCAGCAGAAAAGUUACUUUCCAAUACCAGUCUCCAUCCUCCGUGCUUUGGAAGUUGCAUCGUUUUCCGGUUUUUCGUACUCAAAGAACACUGUCAAUUAUGACAGCUCUGUGACCUCUGGUAAUGAAUUAGUGUAUUAGUCACUCCUGAAACGUUCCUUAAAGUGCUGGAACUUAACAGUAGCACAGCACAUCCAGUACACAGCUGUACCGUAUUUCCAUAUUUUUCAAAGCUGAAAAUCUUAAUUGGAUAUCUUGGAUCAUUAACUUAAAACCUCAGCGGAUUUUUCUUUCAAAGCAGACAUAACUGAGGAUGCUGACCAAUGAAUGCAAAUAAACUAUGCAAUAUUUUUUAAAAUAACAAAUGUAUGUUAGUUUUUUUUAAGCUGAGGUCAACUAUGUUUUGGGGGGUAUGUGCUUUUUUAAAUUAUUGUUUUAUUUCAAUCGAUUUUUGGGGGUAACAGGUGGCGUUUGGUUACAUGAAUAAGGUUUUUAGUGGUGAUUUCUGAGAUUUUGGUGCGUCCGAGCAAUGUACACUGUAUCCAAUGUGUAGUCUUUUGUCCCUCAUUAGCCUUCCCCUUACCCCUGAGCUCCCGAGUCCCCAAAGUCCAAUGUAUCAUUCUUAUUGAAGACAGCUAAAUUUUUAACUCUGAGACUCACUGGAGAGAAUGACUGGUUGUCUUUGGGUGUUACUGAAAAGCCAAAGGAUUAAGCAAUAGGGAUAAAGUAGAGGAGGAGAUAAUUGUUCUCGUAUGUCAUAUGAAAAUGCUAACCAUAGUUUGUAAGCUAACAGAAGAAGCCUGAGGAAGUUCCCGAAUUUAUGAUAUCCUCUUCCCUUUUUUCCAAAGAAAGAUGCAGUCUAGCACCUCAGUUAAGAAUAUGGACUCUAAAGUCAGACUGCCAGGCUUCAAAUUCCAGUUCUGCGACCUCAGCAAAGUUACUUAACCAAGCUCUCAGUGCCUUGUUUUCUUCAUCUGUAAAAUGAGGAUGACGUCACAGCAUUGUUGAGAGAAUUAAUACAGGCUCCAGACUUGUGAAUGGAGAAGUGUUGAGGUGACCCCAGCUCCAGCCACCAGCUGACGACAACCAUACCGGAGAUCCUGAGAGCUGCCUAGCUGACCCCAGGCACCCCCCAGACUUCAUGUAAGCUGUUUGAAGCCGAGGACUUUGUCUGUUUUGUUCACUCCCAAUAGAUUCAGCACUUAGAAGAAUGCCAGGCAGGCUUUCCCCACCAACCAAGAUGGAAUAACAGGGAAAAGACAUACCCUUCUAUCUUCAAUAAUUGGAAACCCAGACAAAGUUUAUGAAACGCUGGUUUUCAAGACAUAGGACAUCAGACAAUCAAGGACAGUAAACACUGAGAUGGGAAACAAACAAGGUGAGUACUGCAAUUGCCCAACAUUACUAGCUGGAAAGAGUUUCCCGACCAUGGCAGAGGGAGGAGGAUCCUUUGAGGUUCUGUGGUGUCCCUGAGUUGAGGAGACAAAGUUGAAAUUCCAGAGUGGUCAAGGCAGCUGGAGUUUGUAGAGCAGAGUACCAGAAAGAAAAUAGAUGCACAGAGAGAACCUCAGAGAUCUGCAAAAGAUCUCAGCUCUUCAGCUGUGCACCUAUCAGUACAUGCAUGUGACAAAGCACCCCAAGGCCAGGGGAAGAAUCACCUGAAAGUAUGAAGAGAAGAAUACUUGGAGCAUAUACAAACCAGGAAUAAUUUCAGUUCUCACCAGCCAAAUUGGAAGACCCCAUAGAUAACAGGCAUUAGGUAGAGCAGGGGUCCCCAACCUCCAGGGGCACUGACCAGUACUGUUCAUGGCCUGUUAGGAACUGGGCUGCACAGCAGGAGGUGAGCGGCAGGCUAGCCAGCAAACCUUCAUCUGUAUUUAUAGCUCCCAUCACUUGCAUUACUCCCCAUCACUCCCCAUCACUUGCAUUACCACCUGAGCUCCACCUCCUCUCAGAUCAGCAGCAGCAUUAGAUUCUCAUAGGAGUGUGAACCCUACUGUGAACUGCACAUGCAAGGGAUCUAGGUUGUGCACUGUUUAUGAGAAUCUAAUGCCUGAUGAUCUGAGGUGCAGCUGAGGCAGCAUAGCUAGGAGGUAGGUAUUUUGUUGCUGGGGACUCAUAUCAAAACCCUAUCAGUGAGUGGCAAGUGACAAUUAAGCUGCAUCUGGUGGCAGACUUUAUAGAGGCAAGUGAGUCAAUGUAUUUCAAUUGCACAGCUCUAUCUGGUGGCAAGUUUUAAGUCAGAAUCUGACACUUAAUUUAGUCUGUGCAUGGCCUGCCCAUUAUUUUAUUUACCACUUCUGUCUGUGCCUCUUUGCUGCACUGAACACUUGUCUCAGUCACAGUUUUGGUAAGCCCACAAGCUAACCCUAGCUAAAAUGAGUAAAAAGCAAACGACACUGGAGAGCUUCUUUGAAAAGUCAGAGAGACCCAAUGAUGAGACAGCAGAAGACUCUUAAGACUGCCAACAAAAAGAAAGCUGCACUUAAAAGAAAAUACCAGACUGGGCGUGGUGGCUCACACCUGUAAUCCUAGCACUUUGGGAGGCUGAAGCAGGUGGAUCCCUUGAGGCCAGGAGUUUGAGACCAGCCAAGCCAACAUGGUGAAACCCAUGUUUCUAAAAAAAAAAAAAAAAAAAAUUAGCCGGGAAUGGUGGUGCGUGCCUGUAAUCUGAGCUACUCAGGAGGCUGAGGCAGGAGAAUCUCUUGAACCCAGGAGGCAGAGGUUGCAGUGAGCUGAGACUGUGCCACUGCACUCCACUCCAGCCUGGGUGCCAGACCAAGACUCUGUCUCAGAAAAAAAAAAAAGAAAAUGCCAAAAGUUCUACUUAAGUUAUGGGUUAAUUGCAACAGGUGAUUCACAUUCUCUAAGCCCACUUUGUAUAUUAUGUGCUGACCCACUAUUCAAGGAAGCCAUGAAAACUUCAAAACUGCUUCACCACCUGGAGACCAAGCACCCUGCAUUAAAAGACAAGCCUUUGGAGUUUUUCUAAAGAAAAAACAUGAACACAGAGAACAGAAGUAAUUAUUGAAGGCCACUACUUCAUUAAGUGUGUCUGUACUGAGAGCAUCGUUCCUAGUGGCUAACCACGUUAUUAGGCUAAGAAGCCCUUUAGUAUUGGUGAAGAGUUGAUCCUGCCUGCUGCUAAGGACAUUUGUCAUGAACUUUUAGGAGAGGCUGCUGUUCAAAAGGUGGCACAUGUUCCUCUUUCAGCUAACACCAUAACUAGAAGAAUGGAUGAAAUAGCAGAGAAUAUUGAGGCACAAUUGUUAGAGAGGAUUAAUGAGUCACCGUGCUACACAAUCCACAAAAGGGUUUUGUCCCAGAAAUAGACUCAUACAUAUAUGAUCAGUGAUUUUCAACAGUGGUACAAAUGCAAGUCAGCGCAGAAAAAAUAAUCUCUUCAACAAAUGGUGCAGGAACAAUUGGAUAUCCAUAAAAUGAACUCGGAUCCACGCUUUGCACCAUAUGCAAAAAUUGACUCAAAAUAGGUAUAGGUCCUAGACCUAAAUGUAACAACCUGAAACUCUAAAAUUUCUCAGGAAAAAAAUGGGAUAAAAUCUUUGUGGUCUUGGAUUAGGCAAAGAUAUUUUCUUGUGUUUGUGGGUAAAGAAACCUUUAAUGAGGGUUCAAGGUGUAAGAGGAGGACCUUGUAGAGAGCCAGCGCUUAGCCCCAGCCUCCUCAUAUGCACAUGGCUCUGUAGAGGUUCUCCAGACAGUGCUGCUGCUGCUGUUUCGAGCCUUAUCUCCUCUGUGCUCCUC
rnacentral:lncRNA from 10 species